ensembl:lincRNA
CCAGUUUGCAAGAUUGGGCCAUUGCUUUACUCUUUAUAAGGAUGAAAUCCAAGGAUUGAAAAAGAAAACUGUGCAGAGCUAGUUCAUUGUCCAAAUAAAGGGACUAAUGUAGAUGAAGAAUUUACAAAAUGGUUCCCUGGAGGAAGAAAGAAACUUUUAUGGCUAGAAAGCCGAGGGUCACACCAGGGGCAAUGAGCAUUGAAACAUAUUUUGAAAGAAUGCAUGCUGGGAACAAACUGGACUUGGAAACAGGAACAAACAUUGGUUGGCACCAGUUCUGAGAAGGUCUCUUUAAGAACUUGGACCUGCAUUGUGGAGACUCCGCGGAGCUCGGCUCACAGGAGCAACUUUGCUGGACAUCUCGAUGACCUCUACCACCCUACCACUCGGGCACAGAGGGAAAAAUGGCACAAAAUCCGAGUACUUCGAAUCUUCCUUGUCUUAACCUAGAAACUAUAUUGAGCAUAUAAGGACAACAGGGAAGACUGAUUUGAAAGGCAACAUGUGGUUUACUCAUGCCCGGUCAUUUGUUUAUGGCUUAGAUCAUUAUAUCUUCUAUUAGGAAAUUAUCCUUCCUUGGAAAUGCUGUUUGUUUUAAUGUCUGCCCCCUUCCUUCCUCUCCUUCUCUUUUACAUAUGUCCUUUGCCCAUCCUUCCCAACAUCUUCCCUAUUUCUUCUUUUUCCUUUAGUUUUGUUUAAUAUGGAGAUUCAAUGUAAUAACUAUGGAUUAUUAGAAAAAGACACUUUUUUAAAGCGGCCUUGCUACUAGCGAUAUGCCAUAAGCCAAGUAACACUAGGGUUGUGAAAAAUGUAAGAAAUGGGUAUUAGCAAAUGUAUGACGCAAGGUGAAACACUGAAAAUUCUUGGAAAGCAGUUGCCAGGGAAGGAGGUGGCCAUGCGCACUGCUAGUUUGCCGUGUUUACCCAUCGCAAAUCUGAAGGAAUAGACCCUUCCCGUCAGCUUGGCCUUUCAUGUGGAAGAAGACUGGAAGGAGACAGACUGAACACAUUCUGGGAGCCUAUUGGAAAUCCUCAGAAAGGUACUUUGUGACAGUCUUAACUGAAUGCAGUUUGAUUGUCAAUUUAAAUUCAGGAACUUAGGAUGCUUCUUUUUAGGGGAAACACUAGAAAUAGAGAAGAUAGUUAAAAAUGUAUAAAAAAUCAUUUCUUGAAAACAAAGGGUAGUUUAGUGAAUCAUGGAUUAUAGAUUAUGAAGAAUACCUAUAGAUUACACAAAGCAUGUGUGCAUUGCAUAUUUGAUACUCCUGGUUGCUACUAAUAUAUACACCAAACACAGCAAAGAUCAGCAGCUGAUCUUCCUUUGGAUGUCAACACAGUUAUAGCUUGGGGCAUAGAACAGAAAACUAGAACAAUGUUCUUAAUAUGUCACCAAAAAGGAAGAGAGACCACUUCCACCCAGAGAAGCCAUCAUCAGAGUAUCUCUGGUCACCUUCAUGUCCUCACCUUCCCUUGUAGAGGUCAAGGAGCCCAAGCUACAGUUUAAGCAGACAUCUCUAAAGGUGUAGGGGAAGUGGGAAGGGUCAGGAAAAGGAAAUAAGGGAAAAGAAAAAAUAUGAGAAAAUGAAAAAAUGGAAACAAAGCUUUUAUAAAUAGGGAAGGGAGGAGAGGGUGAAGGGAGAGCAGGAGUAUGAGGAAAAAAUGAGAACCAAGACCUGUCAUGUAAAGGUACAGGAUCACAAUGAUAAAUGUAACUGUACUGUAUACCUAAAAUGUACCAAUAAACUCAUUGAGAAAAGAAAGAAAGAAAGAACAGUGGAGACACAGCGACACAUAUGUGAAUAUGAUGACAGAACACAGCAACAUAUAUUAGGAUAUUAGAACUAAAAGACAAU